GGAAUAUUGGACAAUGGGCGAAAGCCUGAUCCAGCAAUGCCGCGUGAGUGAUGAAGGCCUUAGGGUUGUAAAGCUCUUUUACCCGGGAUGAUACUGACAGUACCGGGAGAAUAAGCUCCGGCUAACUACGUGCCAGCAGCCGCGGGAAUACGGAGGGAGCUAGCGUUGUUCGGAAUUACUGGGCGUAAAGCGCACGUAGGCGGCUUUGUAAGUUAGAGGUGAAAGCCCGGAGCUCAACUCCGGAAUUGCCUUUAAGACUGCAUCGCUCGAAUCAUGGAGAGGUGAGUGGAAUUCCGAGUGUAGAGGUGAAAUUCGUAGAUAUUCGGAAGAACACCAGUGGCGAAGGCGACUCACUGGACAUGUAUUGACGCUGAGGUGCGAAAGCGUGGGGAGCCAAC
rnacentral:rRNA from 1 species